rnacentral:rRNA from 1 species
AGUGGCGCGUGCUUACCAUGCAGUCGAACGGUAAGGCCCUUCGGGGUACACGAGUGGCGAACGGGUGAGUAACACGUGGGUGAUCUGCCCUGCACUUUGGGAUAAGCCUGGGAAACUGGGUCUAAUACCGAAUAUGACCUUGGGAUGCAUGUCCUUUGGUGGAAAGCUUUUGCGGUGUGGGAUGGGCCCGCGGCCUAUCAGCUUGUUGGUGGGGUGAUGGCCUACCAAGGCGACGACGGGUAGCCGGCCUGAGAGGGUGACCGGCCACACUGGGACUGAGAUACGGCCCAGACUCCUACGGGAGGCAGCAGUGGGGAAUAUUGCACAAUGGGCGCAAGCCUGAUGCAGCGACGCCGCGUGAGGGACGACGGCCUUCGGGUUGUAAACCUCUUUCAGCACAGACGAAGCGCAAGUGACGGUAUGUGCAGAAGAAGGACCGGCCAACUACGUGCCAGCAGCCGCGGUAAUACGUAGGGUCCGAGCGUUGUCCGGAAUUACUGGGCGUAAAGAGCUCGUAGGUGGUUUGUCGCGUUGUUCGUGAAAACUCACAGCUCAACUGUGGGCGUGCGGGCGAUACGGGCAGACUGGAGUACUGCAGGGGAGACUGGAAUUCCUGGUGUAGCGGUGGAAUGCGCAGAUAUCAGGAGGAACACCGGUGGCGAAGGCGGGUCUCUGGGCAGUAACUGACGCUGAGGAGCGAAAGCGUGGGGAGCGAACAGGAUUAGAUACCCUGGUAGUCCACGCCGUAAACGGUGGGUACUAGGUGUGGGUUUCCUUCCUUGGGAUCCGUGCCGUAGCUAACGCAUUAAGUACCCCGCCUGGGGAGUACGGCCGCAAGGCUAAAACUCAAAGAAAUUGACGGGGGCCCGCACAAGCGGCGGAGCAUGUGGAUUAAUUCGAUGCAACGCGAAGAACCUUACCUGGGUUUGACAUGCACAGGACGCCGGCAGAGAUGUCGGUUCCCUUGUGGCCUGUGUGCAGGUGGUGCAUGGCUGUCGUCAGCUCGUGUCGUGAGAUGUUGGGUUAAGUCCCGCAACGAGCGCAACCCUCGUCCUAUGUUGCCAGCACGUCAUGGUGGGGACUCGUAGGAGACUGCCGGGGUCAACUCGGAGGAAGGUGGGGAUGACGUCAAGUCAUCAUGCCCCUUAUGUCCAGGGCUUCACACAUGCUACAAUGGCCGGUACAAAGGGCUGCGAUGCCGUGAGGUGGAGCGAAUCCUUUCAAAGCCGGUCUCAGUUCGGAUCGGGGUCUGCAACUCGACCCCGUGAAGUCGGAGUCGCUAGUAAUCGCAGAUCAGCAACGCUGCGGUGAAUACGUUCCCGGGCCUUGUACACACCGCCCGUCACGUCAUGAAAGUCGGUAACACCCGAAGCCGGUGGCCUAACCCCUCGUGGGAGGGAGCCGUCGAAGGUGAUCG